UUAAGUUAUUAAGGGCGCACGGUGGAUGCCUUGGCACUAGAACCCGAUGAAGGACGUUACUAACGACGAUAUGCUUUGGGGAGCUGUAAGUAAGCUUUGAUCCAGAGAUUUCCGAAUGGGGAAACCCAGCAUGAGUUAUGUCAUGUUAUCGAUAUGUGAAUACAUAGCAUAUCAGAAGGCACACCCGGAGAACUGAAACAUCUUAGUAACCGGAGGAAGAGAAAGAAAAUUCGAUUCCCUUAGUAGCGGCGAGCGAAACGGGAAGAGCCCAAACCAACUAGCUUGCUUGUUGGGGUUGUAGGACACUCUAUACGGAGUUACAAAGGACGACAUUAGACGAAUCAUCUGGAAAGAUGAAUCAAAGAAGGUAAUAAUCCUGUAGUCGAAAAUGUUGUCUCUCUUGAGUGGAUCCUGAGUACGACGGAGCACGUGAAAUUCCGUCGGAAUCUGGGAGGACCAUCUCCUAAGGCUAAAUACUCUCUAGUGACCGAUAGUGAACCAGUACCGUGAGGGAAAGGUGAAAAGCACCCCGGAAGGGGAGUGAAAUAGAACCUGAAACCGUGUGCUUACAAGUAGUCAGAGCCCGUUAAUGGGUGAUGGCGUGCCUUUUGUAGAAUGAACCGGCGAGUUACGAUUUGAUGCAAGGUUAAGCAGUAAAUGUGGAGCCGUAGCGAAAGCGAGUCUGAAUAGGGCGUUUAGUAUUUGGUCGUAGACCCGAAACCAGGUGAUCUACCCUUGGUCAGGUUGAAGUUCAGGUAACACUGAAUGGAGGACCGAACCGACUUACGUUGAAAAGUGAGCGGAUGAACUGAGGGUAGCGGAGAAAUUCCAAUCGAACCUGGAGAUAGCUGGUUCUCUCCGAAAUAGCUUUAGGGCUAGCCUCAAGUGAUGAUUAUUGGAGGUAGAGCACUGUUUGGACGAGGGGCCCCUCUCGGGUUACCGAAUUCAGACAAACUCCGAAUGCCAAUUAAUUUAACUUGGGAGUCAGAACAUGGGUGAUAAGGUCCGUGUUCGAAAGGGAAACAGCCCAGACCACCAGCUAAGGUCCCAAAAUAUAUGUUAAGUGGAAAAGGAUGUGGCGUUGCCCAGACAACUAGGAUGUUGGCUUAGAAGCAGCCAUCAUUUAAAGAGUGCGUAAUAGCUCACUAGUCGAGUGACACUGCGCCGAAAAUGUACCGGGGCUAAACAUAUUACCGAAGCUGUGGAUUGUCCUUUGGACAAUGGUAGGAGAGCGUUCUAAGGGCGUUGAAGCAUGAUCGUAAGAACAUGUGGAGCGCUUAGAAGUGAGAAUGCCGGUGUGAGUAGCGAAAGACGGGUGAGAAUCCCGUCCACCGAUUGACUAAGGUUUCCAGAGGAAGGCUCGUCCGCUCUGGGUUAGUCGGGUCCUAAGCUGAGGCCGACAGGCGUAGGCGAUGGAUAACAGGUUGAUAUUCCUGUACCACCUAUAAUCGUUUUAAUCGAUGGGGGGACGCAGUAGGAUAGGCGAAGCGUGCGAUUGGAUUGCACGUCUAAGCAGUAAGGCUGAGUAUUAGGCAAAUCCGGUACUCGUUAAGGCUGAGCUGUGAUGGGGAGAAGACAUUGUGUCUUCGAGUCGUUGAUUUCACACUGCCGAGAAAAGCCUCUAGAUAGAAAAUAGGUGCCCGUACCGCAAACCGACACAGGUAGUCAAGAUGAGAAUUCUAAGGUGAGCGAGCGAACUCUCGUUAAGGAACUCGGCAAAAUGACCCCGUAACUUCGGGAGAAGGGGUGCUCUUUAGGGUUAACGCCCAGAAGAGCCGCAGUGAAUAGGCCCAAGCGACUGUUUAUCAAAAACACAGGUCUCUGCUAAACCGUAAGGUGAUGUAUAGGGGCUGACGCCUGCCCGGUGCUGGAAGGUUAAGAGGAGUGGUUAGCUUCUGCGAAGCUACGAAUCGAAGCCCCAGUAAACGGCGGCCGUAACUAUAACGGUCCUAAGGUAGCGAAAUUCCUUGUCGGGUAAGUUCCGACCCGCACGAAAGGCGUAACGAUUUGGGCACUGUCUCAACGAGAGACUCGGUGAAAUCAUAGUACCUGUGAAGAUAGCAGGUUACCCGCGACAGGACGGAAAGACCCCGUGGAGCUUUACUGUAGCCUGAUAUUGAAAUUCGGCACAGCUUGUACAGGAUAGGUAGGAGCCUUUGAAACGUGAGCGCUAGCUUACGUGGAGGCGCUGGUGGGAUACUACCCUAGCUGUGUUGGCUUUCUAACCCGCACCACUUAUCGUGGUGGGAGACAGUGUCAGGCGGGCAGUUUGACUGGGGCGGUCGCCUCCUAAAAGGUAACGGAGGCGCUCAAAGGUUCCCUCAGAAUGGUUGGAAAUCAUUCAUAGAGUGUAAAGGCAUAAGGGAGCUUGACUGCGAGACCUACAAGUCGAGCAGGGUCGAAAGACGGACUUAGUGAUCCGGUGGUUCCGCAUGGAAGGGCCAUCGCUCAACGGAUAAAAGCUACCCCGGGGAUAACAGGCUUAUCUCCCCCAAGAGUUCACAUCGACGGGGAGGUUUGGCACCUCGAUGUCGGCUCAUCGCAUCCUGGGGCUGUAGUCGGUCCCAAGGGUUGGGCUGUUCGCCCAUUAAAGCGGUACGCGAGCUGGGUUCAGAACGUCGUGAGACAGUUCGGUCCCUAUCCGUCGUGGGCGUAGGAAAUUUGAGAGGAGCUGUCCUUAGUACGAGAGGACCGGGAUGGACAUACCUCUGGUGUACCAGUUGUCGUGCCAACGGCAUAGCUGAGUAGCUAUGUGUGGACGGGAUAAGUGCUGAAAGCAUCUAAGCAUGAAGCCCCCCUCAAGAUGAGAUUUCCCAACUUCGGUUAUAAGAUCCCUCAAAGAUGAUGAGGUUAAUAGGUUCGAGGUGGAAGCAUGGUGACAUGUGGAGCUGACGAAUACUAAUCGAUCGAAGACUUAAUCAA
rnacentral:rRNA from 1 species